ensembl:lncRNA
CUGAGGCUGAGCUUGUGGAUAGGUCUCAGCUGUAUAAGCUUCCUUUCUUCUCCCCCUGAACUCAGGCAGACACACCUGGAACUACUGUGGCACCUGGGAUGCUCCUUGCAGCCAAUGCCAGGAGAAUCGUCCUGGAGGCUUGUCUAGAAGAAUACACGCAGAUCCUGCCAGUGCACCCCAAGGCUCCUUGCAGCAAUGAAACCAUGCCCUUGGCAAUCUGCGGACUGCAGCGGCUCUCCUGGCAGAGUUACGGAUUCUUCAGAGCGCUUUCUCAUCACGUCUGGAGGACAGGACGGGAGCGGAUAACUCUCCAGGAUGACACAUCCAAGAGGAGAUGUAUGACCCGGAAGUCUUCACUGGGAGCUGGAGGGGUCUUUUACAGAGACUGGGAGGUUGGAGAGGGCCAAGGGUUUAGAGUCCGAAGAUCAGAGUUCAGGUCCCUGUGCCCAGCAUUACCUGUGUGACUUUGAACAAGUCACUUCAUCUCUUUGUGUUUCUGUUUCCUCAUCUAUAAAAUGGAGACGUGCGCCUGCUUCACCUGUCCCACGGGGUUGCUGAAGAUCAAAGUGUGGUAACUUCAAGCUCUUAGUCAAGUCUGUGGGGAUGGCCUUUGUGAGGAAAGUGAGAGCUGCUCAUUGUGCCCAGCUGACUGUGGGGUAUGUCCACUUGCUGCAGAUGCCUGUGUGAUGAUUGCCUUUCCAAUCUGCUUGGUCUCUACUGCCUCUGCCUUGACAUUUGGAAGAUUGAGUCAACAUCUCACGACAAAAUUUCCUUAGCUAUUUGUUCCUUAAGUUUAUUAUUCUCUGCCAGGAUCAGAUAUCUUCUUAGAGUUCCCUAUUGUCAAGAGUCUUUGAGAUUAUGUAAUCUACCCCCAUUACUUUACCAAGGAGAAAGAUGAGGUUCAGAGAUGUUAAAUAACCUGCCCAAGGCCACACAGCAGCAACUGACUUUUAGUGAGCACCUACAUAUAUCUUAUUUAAUUCUUAUGACAAAAUCUGAUAAGUAAAUAUUUUUGUUCCUUUUUACAGAUGAGGAAAAUGAGGCACAAAAAGGUCAAGUGCUUUGCCCAAGUUCACAAGAAGAGUAAAUGAGGGAGCUGGGAUUUGAGCCCAGUCUGUUUAGCUCCAAAGUCCAUUUCUUUGCUCAUCCUCUUGCCCAGUGUUGCCUCUCGGUAAGAUGGUGGCAGAGCUUGGAUUGAACCCAAUCUCUGGGCUCUGUGUCUAGUGCUCUUCCCACACACUUUAGAGAAGACAGCCUUGGGCCCUAACUUCCCUUGGGCUGGAGAGGCGUGUAAGACUAGUCCUGGAGUUUGGAAAGGUCCACACUGAGCUCAACUGUUACUGUCUGGCCCUGCUUUUUGGGAAUUGUUUCUCUGGCCAAAGGAGUAUGGGUCUACAGACAUUUCUGAUUUUCAAAUGGAUUCUUCAGUUGCCUGAAGCAAAUGGUUUCUAUCCGUGGUUCUCAGCCAUGCUAUUAAGAUGCAUUGGUGCAGGGCAAGGAGUUGUGAGGUGCCAGCAAUUAAUAAUAGUUAAUGUAAUCUGAGACUGGAGCACCUGGGGAUUUCAGAAUUGGCAGCUGGGACUUCUCUCCCAGAGCCUCAGCGAAGGGAUCGGGGCAUGCAGCACCUUCUGUUUGUUGUUAAAUGGCCUCAAUCCUAUCUCUGCCUCAAGUGUAAACUUUAAUGAGCAUGUCCUGCCACACCGUGUGUAGAACUCUGCACUUUGUUCUUAUUUUACAAAAGGCAGAGUACGUGAUGUGAAAGAACCUAGUGUCUAACAGAGGAGAGGAGAGCAAGCUAGAAAACACACUGCACCUUGUGGUCCAUGCAGCGUGGCGUCCCGUUCAAUGACUGCCUGACCAGCAAAUAAUAAUUAUAAACAAAUUAAAGCAUUCUUGCUGUUUCUCCUGAAAACGCCAUAGCAGAACUUCUGAAAAAUCCUAUUUUUUCCAUCUUAAAGUAUGUCCUUAACACUGCAGCUUUCCAAAGUCUCUCUUCUCCCCCAGCACAAGCUGCUCCCCAAAUCUCUACCCAACUGGACCCCCAUAAACCUGCCUGUCUCUUCAUUUCUCCUUCCUUGCUCAGCCCUUCAUUACGUAGGUCAAUGCAGCCUUUUUAGUGACUUUAAUUUCCCUUCUUCCCCCGUCAUCUUGGUUCUGCACAGUAAAGAAAGGUCUAGGAGCUGAUGGAGAAGUUAAGAUAACUCCCUCCUUAGAUGGAGGUGGGGUGGUUUGAGGCAGAGACUGGGGCUGCUCGUGCAUUUCUUUUUGGUCAAAUCAGCUUUAAGUGCAUCCGCAUGGUAUUAAAUUUAAAGUCUCCAAUUCUUACCAGCUCCUGCUCUAAAGUGUGGGCUCCUGCUCCUCGUGUCACUGGUGUGUAUCUAGAAAACUGUGAAAGUGCAUCUAAACAUUAUUCUAGAAACUGUUAUUAGACAGGCCCAUUUACCCCCCGAACCUAGACAGUAUAUUCUGAAACUGAAAGUCCAUGGUUUGGCAUUUUCUAUUGUUUUGGAUUGUUGAUGCCACUGUUCCCCUCCCUGGGGUAGAUAAUAGAGCUUGUUGACCGUGGGGGCAGAGUGUGUGGGGGGGUGUGAGAGAGAAAUAGUUCCCCGGAGCCUUUAAUAAGAGAAUGGAAAGGAGUUCACAAGAUUGCUAGAAAAUGAUUCCAGAGAAGUAGGGGCAGGACAGGGAGGGAGAACAGCAAUAGCUUUUGAAGGGCGAGAAAACAGAAUAUUUUCCUUUAUUUUGAUGCUGAAAUGUGCAAUGUAUCAGAAUUAAAGAUCUGAUAAAUCUGAAAUAAAGUCAUGUGAUGUUUUAAAAAUUGUAUUGAAUUCUCAAAUCUUUGGCUUCUUGUUUAUAUGACUUUUUAAUUGAGAUCCUUAUUAAACCCACUGCAAUCAACUUUGCUAAUGAGUUCCAUCGUCUAAUUGGUAGUCUGUUGCUAAUGAUGAA